GUGACGGUGACAGCUGUUUGAAGAGCGGUAGCACGACGCAUGCGUCAAGCCUAGACUCCGGCGAAGGAAAUGAGCCCAAAAUAACCUCAGCAAAUUCUCCUUCACUCCUCAGUAUAUUGUAGUAGUCUACUAGUACUACUAGACCACGAUAAUAAGUAUCUGGACGGAGUUAACCUAAGAGACUGUUUCUCUCUAGCUGGAGAGACUGUCAGACUGGCGACUAUGUUGAUAGCGGUGGGCGGCGACCCGAGCAGCCGGCCGAGCGCCGGUGGCCAGGGGAAGAAAAACCGAAGAAAGGGCAAGAAGAACCGGCGGGCCCCCGGGGAGCCGGACGGGGUGGACGGCAGGUGUCGGAUGGCCUCUACUGAUGAGCUCAGUCAGAUCCUCAGAGACGCGUCCCCCAGCUCGUACACACUGCCAGCCCUCCUGAGCUCUACUCUGGACACACCUGCCUGUCCACCUGGUCCUCCUACCUGCCACAACACCACAGGCCCGGGUAUUACCCAGGAUCCCCCCCCGCAAUCACCUCCAUCCUCCCACCAAAGACUAAUUCAAUCACCUCCAUAUAAUACUCCUUCCGACCAGAAUCACCUCCGCCCGGACCCACCUCCACCUCCAGGCCCUCCUCCGUCCUCAGGCCCUCCUCCGUCCUCGGGCCCUCCUCCAUCGUCAGGCCCUCCUCCAUCCCCAGGCCCUCCUCCAUCCCUAGGCCCUCCUCCAUCGUCAGGCCCUCCUCCAUCCCCAGGCCCUCCUCCGUCCUCAGGCCCUCCUCCAUCCCCAGGCCCUCCUCCAUCCCUCUGGCCUCCUCCACCCCCAGGCCCUCCUCCAUCCAUAGACCCUCCUCCGUCCUCAGGCCCUCCUCCACCCCCAGGCCCUCCUCCAUCCCCAGGCCCUCCUCCGUCCUCAGGCCCUCCUCCAUCCCUAGGCCCUCCUCCAUCCCUCUGGCCUCCUCCACCCCCAGGCCCUCCUCCACCCCCAGGCCCUCCUCCAUCGUCCUUCGUUCCUCCUUCCCCUGCCUCUGCGACGCUUACUAGCCAAACAGCCACCCUGUCAUCAUCUAACCGCAAUCAGACCACGCCCAAUCAGACUCUGAGCCCGCCUCCUCCGGAUUUUAACCUGCCACCUCCUGGUUUGACUCCGCCUCCACUUGAGCUGCUGGGGUCUGACGACGAAGAGCAAGAGGACUCUUCUGACUACUGUAAAGGGGGCUACUACCCGGUGCAGAUCGGGGAUCUGUUCAACGCUCGCUACCACGUGGUCCGGAAGCUGGGCUGGGGACACUUCUCCACCGUCUGGCUCUGCUGGGACCUACAAAAGAAGAGGUUUGUUGCACUAAAAGUUGUCAAAAGUGCGCUGCACUACACAGAGACGGCACUGGAUGAGAUUAAACUACUUCGAUGUGUGAGGGACAGCGACCCUACUGACGGCUACAGAGAGACCAUGGUCCAGCUGAUCGAUGACUUCAAGAUCUCCGGAGUCAACGGCGUUCAUGUGUGUAUGGUGAUGGAGGUUCUCGGUCACCAGUUGUUGAAGUGGAUCAUUAAGUCCAACUACAUGGGGCUACCUCUGGUCUGUGUUAAAUCCAUCAUCAGACAGGUCCUGCAGGGUCUCCACUACCUCCACACCAAGUGUAAGAUCAUCCACACGGACAUCAAGCCGGAGAACAUCCUGCUGGACGUGGACGAGCUCUACAUCCGGAGGCUGGCGGCCGAGGCCACCGUGUGGCAGAGGGCCGGGGCCCCACCCCCCUCCGGCUCCUCAGUCAGUACGGCCCCCAGGGAUGCUCAGGGUAAGAUUUCCAAAAACAAAAAGAAGAAGAUCAAGAGAAAAGCCAGACGACAACAGAGACUCUUGGACGAGAGAGUAGUCGACCUCCAAAGAAUGGAAGAUAAAAGCAGCGAUCCGUCUCACACUGAUGACAUCAGCGGUUGCCAGGAGGCGGGUCCACUGCCUUCCUUGGUUGUCAAUGGCAACACUUCCUGGUCCACCACCGAUAAGAACGCCAGUCCGGGAUCUGGCUCCUCCUGGUUGGACGAAAGCUGUAAUGGGCGGUUCUCCAGUCCAGCCUCUGGCCUAUCAGGGAUGUCCGACUCUGUGAUUUCAGCAACGUCUGAGUCAGCACUUUCCUCCUUAUCAGGAUACUCAAGUGGACGAGACGUGUUCAGUGCAGCAGACUUCCUGGUCAGUCCGUUGGAUCCCAGGAACGCAGACAAACUUCGUGUCAAAAUUGCUGAUCUGGGCAAUGCAUGCUGGGAGUACAAACAUUUCACGGAGGACAUCCAGACCCGGCAGUACCGAGCUCUGGAGGUUCUGAUCGGAGCGGAGUACGGAACCGCAGCCGAUAUCUGGAGCACCGCCUGUAUGGCGUUUGAGCUGGCCACUGGAGACUACCUGUUUGAACCGCACUCAGGAGAAGACUACACCAGAGACGAAGACCACAUCGCCCACAUCAUGGAGCUGCUGGGGCCGAUCCCCGUCCCCUUCGCCCUGUCCGGACGAUACUCCAGAGAAUACUUUGAUAGAAGAGGUGAGCUGCGCCACAUCUCCAGCCUGAAGCCCUGGGCGUUGUUCGAGGUCCUUCUGGAGAAGUACGAGUGGCCCCUGGAGCGAGCCGCCCAGUUCAGUGACUUCCUGCUCGUCAUGCUACAGCCGGACCCCGAGACCCGGGCCAGCGCCGCCCAGUGUCUGGAGCACCCCUGGCUCAACACAUAGACCUCAACACCUCUCCCCUGGCUCAGCCCAUAGACCCUGACCAACUCUCCCCUGGCUCAACACAUAGACCUCAACACCUCUCCCCUGGCUCAACACAUAGACCUCAACACCUCUCCCCUGGCUCAACACAUAGACCCUGACCAACUCUCCCCUGGCUCAACACAUAGACCCUGACCAACUCUCCCCUGGCUCAACACAUAGACCCUGACCAACUCUCCCCUGGCUCAACACAUAGACCCUGAACACCUCUCCCCUGGCUCAACACAUAGACCCUGAACACCUAACCCCUGGAUUAAUGCAUAGACCCUGAACACUUAACCCCUGGAUUAAUGCAUAGACCCUGAACACUUAACCCCUGGCUAAAUACAUAGACGCUGAACCCCUAACCCCCUGAUUUUUACAUAGACCCUGAACACAUAACCCCUGGAUUAAUACCUAGACCCUGAACACAUAACUUCUGACUUGUUACAUAGACACUGAACACAUAACUCCUGGCUCAGUACAUAGACCCUGAACACCUAACCCCUGGAUUAAUGCAUAGGACCCCCCCCCCCCCCCCCCCCCCCUUGCAAUACUUUUAACACCUGACCCCAACACAUUAUCCCUGAGCUCUGUCACUGGAGACGUGGAUGAAGACUGAGUGGUAGACAGGUGUAUAGAGCAGGUCUGUAUAGAGCAGGUCUGAGCUGGUCUAGGGUAGAAAGGGUCUGGAUCGAGCAGGUCUGAGAUGGUCUAGGGUAGGAGGGGUAUAGAGCAGGUCUGAGCUGGUCUAGGGAAGGAGGGGUCUGUAUAGAGCAGGUCUGAGCUGGUCUAGGGAAGGAGGGGUCUGUAUAAAGGUCUGAGCUGGUGUUAAGGGAGAGGUGUAGGUCUACUGAAGUGGUGAAGAGAAAAGUCACCCAGCUCAACAAGCCUUUGACUCCCUCCUCCCUGCGUCGCUAAAGUCGAAGGUCUCCACAAGCUAUUCCACCGGAGGAGAUUCAGGAUGUAUACUUUGUGGGAACAGAUGGCUGACCAACAGAGCUUGGCUUCAGAAAACACAUGACAGUUUUGUAUUGAUAGUGUUCAUUAUAUUUAUAUUUAUAUUCAACAUGGAGGCCGAUAGGUUAGAGCAAUACCUGGCUGUAAACUAUUGCCUGUGUUUUGUAUUGAUAGUGUUCAUUACAUUUAUAUUUGACAUGGACUGCCGCUGUUGGAAUGAUUCUUGGCUGUAAACUCUCAUUAGCCAUCAGUAAAGUAGCACCAGUAGGUCCCUCCUACUGGCACGUUGGGAUUAUGAGUGUUAGCCGGGUUAGCUCGUCCUCAUGGUCACAUGUAUAAGAUGCUAUAUCCCAGGGUCACUCCUCCACAUGUUAGGGUCUCUAUUGUGUUAUGGAUUCUGUAAACAGUGCCUUGUGUCCCGUGGAGUCAGGAUGGAAGCUGCAUCUUUUCUAAACACGUGUACCAUAACGAUGAAUCACUUGUGAUGAACUUGUGACAUGUUUCAUUUGUGCAAAUAAAGUAUUUAAGAACGACGGUUA